rnacentral:tRNA from 1 species
GGGGCCGUAGUCUAGCUUGGUUAGGACUCCGGCUUCGGGAGCCGGGAACCCCGGUUCAAAUCCGGGCGGCCCCA